GUUAUUAUAACCUCUGUAACCGGUAGAGGGAUAUAUUUGAAGAAAAAGGGGUUGUUUCUCCUCCCACACGCACUGAAGUAAAUCAGGAGCAAUUCUCCUGCAGUCAAUGGGAGAGUAUCUGUGAAACUGACACAAAACAAGAAAAAACAAAGCCAGAAACGUACAAGCAAAGCUUUCCUAGCACUACGGGCACAAAUUGAACGUCUCCUCUGCCUUUUGGUGAGGCUGAACCAUUCAUGCACCUAUCCCACACUUAGCUCCAUCCCGUGAAAGCGAAUCUCAACAGGGUCCAGACUCGCACUGAACACAAUGGAGGUACAUACACCAGCUCGAGCAGGCGGAGAGCCUGGCAUAAAGCCCCGAGAAUGAAUGAGGAUUGUCAAGUGAAGUAAUCAUACGCGUUGGAUUUAAGCACGUUGCCCCUGAAACACUGGGCGUUUCUGAGUGCUGUAACAGAAAACUAGGAAGAUUAGAAAAGGAUUUAGGGGGAAAAAAAUAAAAGUGGUAGAUGCAACCCACUAUUUUCUUUACAGACACAAGGACCAGCACUCGUCCUAGGGAAAGAUCAUGUGGCAAAACGAUGACUCUGAGUCACUAGAAAAGAGAAAAUCUUUUAAAAUACUCUUGGGACCAGGGACGAACUGUUAAGCGAAGAGCACUAUUUUAUCAUUCAGCUAACGAGCCCGAGGAAGGAUGAUCACCGCUCGGUGCCGUUUCGCCUUGACAACUCUUUCUCCCUGAAACAAAUACGCCAACUUCGGCAUUAAGGCAUUUACCAGAAAAUGCUUUCCUACAGCCCGUUAGUAGCUGCUGUACCGUGAUACACGAGCUUCUGCCAAAGAACGCUGAAGUCUGCCCAGAGAAACAAAAACUGUCUUCUGUAAGGCAUUUAUACAAGGGGGAGCACUCUUCUGGGAAGCAGGUACAUCUUUACCUUUCCUUUUCACAAGAAAGCAGAUAGCUACUACACUAGUACUGGAAGGUGAUGUUAACUCAUGCCUUUGUUAUGACAGAGCUGCCUGAAGACCUGGGUCAAUAAAUGAUUCAUUUUGAACCAUUCAGUGUAAAUAAACAUUGCAACAAUCCUCAGUUUUGGCAUGGAGAACUUGAGUGGAGGUACAGUAACAAAGCUUACUGUAAAAACACACAACCAUUGAAAGAUGGCUAUUUACACAAAGGAUAAAGGAUAUUUACACAAUAAAUGAAGUUUUUUCUACCCUCAGAGUGUUUUCUUGGUUACAAAAAGUGUGAAAGGUUGCCUUUCGGAUAAAGCCUGUGAACAGCAUCCAUUCAGGCCAUGAAUUUUGGUUCAGGGACUGUAAACUGAAUUUUUAACCCUCUGGAGCCAGUUGUAUCCCUUAAAAGAAUGCCUAAGGAUCUAGGUCUACAUCUAAUGCAAACUACACUAACUCUGUUAAUUUCAGGAGCUGCAGGAGAGGAGGAGGGUGAGAAGCACUCUCCAUUGAAGGCUAUUAAACAACUAACUUAAAAGACAUUCUUGUCAAGAUCUCUACCACUUACAAUGUGGGAAACAGGCUCCUAACCUUGGUUCUCUAAAUUUGAUGCUUGUAAUAACCUGAAGUCUACAACAUAAAUAUUGUCCAAACAUUCAAAGCGAACCUCUUUUUUGGACUCACCAUUAGUCUGAGAGCAGCAGGAGUUCAGAAUUUAUGACUACAUGCUAAUGAUUCACACAUAGUGAGCAGGAACAUGGAACUUAACAAUAUCAUAAUGAAACUGCAGUGAACUUCUGGAUAUGAAUGUGACCUACCUGUGGUUCAUUCUUCAUUCCUCUGAAGGGUUUUGUUAGCCCCAAGGAACAGAAAGGUGCAUCUCUUGGAGCCAAGAAAAGGGAGGAGUCCUUGCAUGUUGUCCCUGAUGUUGAGAGAAGGAUAUUUCUUGCACCUGGCAGCAACUAAACGCUCUGACCUGGAGAUCACGAGGAUGCAGCACGUCACCAAUCUGAAGAGCUGAGCAGCAGUCUUUACACUUGAAAAUCAUAUUAUUGAACUCACAUUCUGUCAAAAGGGUUUACAAGAGGUGUGUUCUGUAUUUUGCUCAUACUGCUGGUGAUGCUGAGUUCAUGAAAUACACAGAAAGUUCAAGGUGCUCUUGCAGAAAUCAACAUGCUGCAGGGAACAAUGAAACUGAAAAACUCCUCUUUAUCCCCUCUUCCAGGCUUAGAACCAACUUCUAUACUAAAAAAGAAGAAAUGUGCAGUUCUCUUUGCUCAUACAAAUUUUGGUCAUAUCUGUGCACACAAGAAGACUUGGAAAAUAUUCCAAACUUUUAACUCUUGAUUUCCUGAAAUCUGUAUUUGCAGAAAAACAAACGAACAAACAAACAAACAAACCAUUUUUUAAGGCUAUGGACCCAUAUUUCUCCAGAAAUUCUUUAUAUUUAAAAUUUACUAGUGGCUUUAUGUAGUAUUCUUUUUACAUGUUUCUAUUCCUUCAGCUUUCCUACUCAUCUGUCAGAAACAAUUAAAUCACCGGAUUUUUCAUUGUUUGAAAUAACUGGUUGCAUUACCAUCUGGAAACAAUACAUUUUAAGUGCGUAAUCACGGGUGUUUGAAAUCCCAGGAACCCAACUUUAUAUGCACAGGACUAGGAGGCAGCAUGCUCAAAAAUGUAUUGUCAGCUGCGUGAUAUACAGCUAGGAGGAAACGAAGAAUGAUUCCCAGCCUCUUCUCUACUGUCUUCUCUCCGCAGGCCUCGGAGAGCUAAGGUCAGGUUUGCCUGCAGAGCAAAUGAGAACAUUUUAGAUUGCUCUUAUUUGUGUCGAGUUUUAAUGAUUGCAGCGGGCCAAGGGACACCAGCUGAGCUGUGGCCUGUCAACUCCUCAUCCUUCUUAGAGUUCAAUUCCAGUAUGAGGCUGGACAAUCAACUUUGUGAUCGUUUCCAGGAAGCGUAAAGAAACGAAGCACAUUACCUGGUAGGACUGCUGAGGAUAGCCGUUCACUGCAUAUAAGCUCACAGUGGAAAAUGCUUUGAGACUCUGAAACAGAAGCUGAAUUUCUACAAAACCACAACUCAAAGAUAUAACAGUCAACUGGUCCUUAUUUAUACACAAGGGGAGAGGGAAAAUUCACAGCCUUAGGCGCUUCUCAAGAUAGCAGCUGUCUCCAUGCCAUCUAACUGCCAAAGCUUUUCACCUGACUGAUCUGAUAGCACGGUGGACUGCUGUUCAAACUAAUAACCAACUCUUUGAGAACCCUCUCCUAGCAGACAGUGUGCUGUGUUUGUGGUCUCUGUAGGAGACUGUAGUCAGGUAAGAACCAUGGGAAGAAAAGAACCCCAGGAAGUGGAUUGGAUACUCUACAAAGUGGUUGAUG